rnacentral:lncRNA from 1 species
ACCAUAAUCCUAACAUUUGUUCAUUUAUCCAUUUAACAAACUAUAGGCAAGCAUCUGGAAUGCCAAGGUGAAUAAAAUCUGUUCUUGGUACUAAACAUCUCGUAAUUUAGAAAGGAAAGAAGGAUGAACAAAUAAUACGGCAAGUGCAGGUUUGGGGUAUGUGGCUAGUGGUAGAGCAUUUGCCAAGUGUGCAAGAGGCUCUGGAUUCAAUCCCAAGCUACACACACACACACACAUACACACACACAAAGAGUUCAUCUCUCAAAACAGUCAAGAAUGUGAACUCCUAUCAGAACACAAAUUUUGUUCAGGGCCAAGAUCUGCCUACCUUUGAAAGAAAAGUAAAGUGAGAAAGAAUCCCCAGACUCCCUGACAGGAAUCAAAAACUGUCUACUUGGCCACAAUUAG